CGGAGGGUGCAAGCGUUAAAUCGGAAUUACUGGGCGUAAAGCGCACGCAGGCGGCUUUUUAAGUCGGAUGUGAAAAGCCCCGGGCGUCAACCUGGGAAGUUGUCAUCUGAUACUGGGAAGCUAGAGUAUGUGAGAGGGGGGUAGGAGUUCCAAGUGUAGCGGUGAAAUGCGUAGAGAUUUGGAGGAAUACCAGUGGCGAAGGCGGCCCCCUGGCACAAUACUGACGCUCAGGUGCGAAAGACGUGGGGAGCAAACAGGAUU
rnacentral:rRNA from 1 species